rnacentral:rRNA from 1 species
ACGAACGCUGGCGGCGUGCUUAACACAUGCAAGUCGUACGGUAAGGCCCUUUCGGGGGUACACGAGUGGCGAACGGGUGAGUAACACGUGAGUAACCUGCCCACAACUUUGGGAUAACGCUAGGAAACUGGUGCUAAUACUGGAUAUGUGCUCCUGCUGCAUGGUGGGGGUUGGAAAGCUCCGGCGGUUGUUGAUGGACUCGCGGCCUAUCAGCUUGUUGGUGGGGUAGUGGCCUACCAAGGCGGCGACGGGUAGCCGGCCUGAGAGGGUGACCGGCCACAUUGGGACUGAGAUACGGCCCAGACUCCUACGGGAGGCAGAAGUGGGGAAUAUUGCACAAUGGGCGCAAGCCUGAUGCAGCAACGCCGCGUGCGGGAUGACGGCCUUCGGGUUGUAAACCGCUUUCAGCAGGGACGAAGCUUUUUGUGACGGUACCUGCAGAAGAAGCACCGGCUAACUACGUG